rnacentral:snRNA from 1 species
GUGCUCACUUCCACAGCACAAACAUCCACAACUAAAUGACACGGAGAAGAUUAGCGUGGCCCUUAUGUGAGGAUGACACAAAUGUGUGUGGCACUUCGUGUCUUG